CGGCCGUUCCUUCUUCUUCUCCUCCACCUCCACCUCCUCCUCCUCUUGGGGCUGCGGGCCCGGCUCGUUGUCGUCCCCGAGGCCGCCAGCGCUGUGCUGGGGGGAGACUAGAACCCCUCCUUUGCGGGGCCUGUGUCGGCUUCAGAUAGGACAAAACUGCUAGAAAACACCAGCACUUUGGACUGAGUUAUGUGGAAGAGCUGAAUGCGGUUAAGGAACGUGAGACUAUAUGCAGGGAAUCUCAGUGGGGUAGUCUGAAGAUCAAACAAGCAAUAGUUACUGCUCCUAGAAACGUGAGCAUUUCGCCUUUAUUGGAAGAUUGAACACCAGAGCAAUCGUGUCAGUUUAGAAAAUUAUCCUCUCCAGAGGUCAAAGAGUCCACAUAAGCCUGCCAUGAAUAUAAAUAAAAAUAUUCCUAAUUAAUUCAUUGGGUGUUCUGAUGUUCACAGAAAGUAAGGAUAUCUUCUGAAGUAAGAGACAUGAAAAAACAGACUCCUGAUGUCAGGGUGAUGACGCAAAGAAGUAAAUCUGUGGAAGAAGACAAUGCUGACAAAAAGCAAAGAAGUUGCUCUAAAAAAGUUGACAGAGGAAAUGCUGCUUGUAGUCGUGAAAGUACAGUUCUAAAACUGCCAGUAAUAGCAUCAUUUGCAGGUACCACUAAAAAAAUCGUAAUGGUCAAGCACCCAGCACCACCUCGGCUGCCAAGUUACUGCAGGUCUAAUUUUCAUGUUAAUAACUCCCUUAUCUCAUUAGAAAAGACAAAAGCUGGUAGUAAAAUAAAGGACAGAGUGCAUAUGCUACAGAUGGAUCCCCAGAAUUUAAAAAGAGAUAAAAGUGAAGAAAUAGAUACUGAGUUUAAUGAUAGUGAUGAAUUUAGCUCUACAGAUUCUGAUACAAGUAAAACCAUUUCAAGAAAGGGAAAAAUAACCAGGGAGGGCUGUGAGAAGGGAAGAAGUGUGAUUUCAAAAGUGAAGCAACACAAUUUAGAUGUUGAAUGGGGAAGAGUACUGAGAAAAGGAAGCAAGCAGCCAAGUGUGAGGUCUGCUCAAGAACAGUUGGAAGAGGUAAGAGAUGUGACUAGACCAGACACUUCAAAAAUAUACGAGAAGAACUUCCAGCAGAGCAAACCUGAAGAGCCUACUUCCACACCAGCAUUGCCUGUGAAAGUGGUUGCAAGGUCUAUUGAUGAAAUAAUUGCUUCCCUGCAGUCUACUUCUCCAUCUCCCUCAGACCAGACGAUCAAAGAACUCCUGGAGAGUGUUCUUGGCCAGAACUACAACAUAAAAAUGGAAGUAGGUGAACCAGAACAAGAGCAAUAUUUUUCUCUUGGAAGACAUCAGUAGUUCAGAAAGAAUCUCAAGCAGCAAGAAAUGAAUCUCGGCCUGAAGUUGAGCUGUUAACAUAUAAGAAGCCGGUGAAGCAGGUAAGCAGGUUUAGUAUUAUUGUGAGAUAGUAUAAGUUUUCCCAUUCUUAAGGUUUUGAUGCUUUAGAGCAUCCAAGAGGUCUGCACUGCAAGCUGUAUCCUUACCACCUGCC
ensembl:lncRNA